rnacentral:misc_RNA from 1 species
AGCACUCAACAAAACUACAAUGCCUCUCCAGUCCUACAUCAAUUAUAUACAAACAAAACAAUGACAAUAUUGACUCCGAUUCACUAUAAAUUUGUAGGUAAAUUUAAUUUACCGUCAGUUUAGAAAAUGAUUUGGUGCAAACAUAUGCACCGUGCACACGAGUUAAUAACCAUCCGAUCAAGUAUAUUUACUUUAUCAAACGGUUAUUAAUGUGUGAACACUAAGUUCCCUAAUAAUUUUAUUGCUUUUAUAGGUAUGAGUUAGAGCCUGGAGUAGCUAAAGCAAAUUCCAAGCGAUAACAAUCGCAACCUUGCUGGCUAGAGUCAUGAGGGGAAAGUGAGAAGGGGGAUUCAAACUAAACCUAUCCUUAAAAGGGAAAUUGAUCGACUAAAUUAUGCCUUGGCAAUACAAGCCUUCAUAACUCAAUAACUGAUGUAAAGCUCCACCAAAAUAGCCAACUCAACUAUCAACAACCAUUGUCUAGUGGCUUUGAGAACAAUAUCUUGCCUGCUUAAACCAUAAACAUGGUAAUUUCAUUUGACAUUUCAUCUACACUUGGGUGUCGAUGCUUCAAUGUCCAGAACGAAAACUUGCAGAAGGUUGCAGCCUUUCAAGAGCCCAAGGGCACAUUUUAUAAGGACAUUGAGAUUAAAUUCAGAUGACUUUUGUUUUAUCAGUGUAAUAAUUGCUCUUGGAGACAAUUCAGUAGUUGAUAUAUGUACAACAAGACCCUUUGUCUUGUAACAAUCCAUACACAAAAUAAUGGCAUUCCCUUGUAUAUGUACCCAACUAUUUCUACUUGCCAUACCUUUCACGACUCAUCAGGCUUUGGCUCAAGUAUUACUGGAAUCUUCUCCUUGUGAUCCCCACGCAACACCUCCACAAUCACCUGAAUAUCAUAAUAGCUCAAUAUAAUACAAUAUAAGAAGAGUUGUUUAUCACAAGACUACUUCCCCCAGUCGAAGUAUUGCAAGCAAACAAAAAUAAUAUCUAAGAUCAAGCUUCGGAUGGUGAUGACUAGAGGGCCACAGGCCGGUUCCAGUUUGUGGAGGGGACAACCCUGAAUCGGACCUCAUGGGGCCAGUUCUGAUUAGGUUUGGUCCAGUUAAAUUAGGCUGAGCUUGAAAUCUUUUUUAAACAAGCAGGUUCAAACCGGAACGGUCUGCUGAUUCUGGUCCAAUCCGAUCCCAAGGGAGGGACCAGGACUAACUCUACCGCAACACAGUUUUGUUUUAGUUCAGACACAAACUGGACCUUAUCCAUGUUUACCAAUAAUAUUCAGAAAAAUAAAAAAAUUCACCAGAAUGAAAAGUUCACAUAUCCGAUGAGAGUAUGGACACCAGAGAGAGAGAGAGAGAGA